rnacentral:lncRNA from 1 species
AGGUCUGUAUGGCAUAUAUGCAUAUUCAAAUUUAUUGAAAAAUUAUUUUUGGUAACACAUAUAGCUAUGUUCUUUUUAUUACAUAGCUGUUAGAUGAUGUCUCUUAAACAAGAUUCUCUGAAUGAGUAAUACUUGUCAUUAUGUACACUAACUUUGUCUGUAAAAUAUUUGGCCAUGGCUACUCUAUGGUAGAAGAGUGACAGGGAAAAGUUGCAGAUAUGUAAAGACGAGAGAGACCUUAGAGGUCAUCACUUGAACUUUUCCUUUUACAGAUGAGAAACUGAAGACUCAACAACAUAUUGGAACAAAGAGGGUCUAAAGAUUUAAUUAAAAUUGUGGAAAUUUAUAAAUGUGAUUUUCAAUAGUGAAAAGCAAACGUCUGAUAAGACAUGACUCAUGAAGCAACAAAUCUGCAACAAGAUCAAAUGCUGAUUUUAAAGUUUCAAUUGAAUUUGAUCUGCCUAACUCAUAGAAAGGUGACUCUUUCAGAGAAAUGAUGACUUUAAGGUAAUUUCUCUCCAUUUCAGGGCUACUAGAAGACUUUUUGUUUUGUUUUGUCAAAACCACUACCAGACUCAAGAGGCAAACUGGAAGUAGAUAAAAUAGAAAUAGAGCAACAAGACGUGUCUGCUGUGCCUUUCAGAAGCACAAAGAUCAUGCCUCCUCUUUUCUGAGUCCGUGCACCUGUACACAGACCUGAAAAUCUCCUUCAACCCUUGAGGCAUUUUGCUCAGGAGAGAACAACUUUUUGAGUGAGCACAACAUUUUCCGGGAAGACCUCAAGGCCAGAUUUCCUGGAGAAGAUCCAGUCUGGAGCCCAGCUCUCCUAACUCCAGGCCUGAUCAGGCUCACUCCAGAGAGUCAAAGGCUGCGUAUUGUAUGGAUGCAGAUGAUAAAAGUUCAAAGUUUCCAGCUAAAUGUCUGGAGAGAGAGAGAGAGAGAGAGAGAGAGAGAGAGAGAGAGAGAGAGACAGAGAGAGACAGAGAGACAGAGAGAAACAGAAGUGUUGAAAACCUGUUACAUCUAUAGACUUAAGUGUGUGUAAUUUCAUUUCAAACCAACAUUGUUUCUCUAACUCACAUACCCAAACCCCUGAGUAAAAUAUAUUUCUGCCAAAUUUAUUUUUACUUCCCAACAGGCCCAUUUAUGUACAAUUAAAUUGAUUAUCCAGCCAAUUCUCUUCCAUAUGAAAGCAGAAAACUGCUUUAGCUGGUGGUUUUCAUCUGUUAAUUGGAUUCUUACUUGCAAAGCCACAUCUUACUUUUUAUUUUUUAUUUUUUGCUGUUUAUUUUUCAUUUGGUAGAAAUAUGUGAAAAAGUGAUGUGAUUGUUUUAUUAAAAUAACUCAUUCUCCUAAAAAUAAAGCCUUUUAUAAUCAUUUCUCUUCAAUAUUUUCUAAAUUUCUCAGUUGACAGUGUAAAUAUAGACUCAAGUAAAGUCAUCCGCUAUUUGGAUUACUAAAAAAGAUGUAAUUCCAUUUUGGACUCCUUCUAUAUAAUGUCAAAGCAACUGAUCCAGUCAAUCUUUCACUAAAAUUUGUCCAUUGAAUUAAAGAAUAAUUUGAUUUUAUAGAGAUACAACUGUAAUCUUUAAAAUUACUACUUGGUGUAAUUCCAUCGGUAUUCUUGACUCCAUUUGGGUGGUAUGGGAAGAAUAGAAGGGGGAGGUAUAUUAGAGGCUGAGAGUUUUUAAUCUUAUCCAUUCUCCAUUUUUCUGUAUUUUUCUUUUAUGUAUCUGUUAUAAAAAACAAAAACAAGCUGUUUCUAAUUGGAAAUAUGACUCUCUGAAUAAAGACUACAUUUCCAAGCUUUCUUUGAAGCCAUAUUGAGUUCUCCAGAGAAACAGAACCUAGAGCAUACACACACACACGUAUACACACACACACACAAAUAUAUACACAUAUACACAUAUAUAGGUACAUGCACACAUAUAUACACACACAUACAUACAUGUGUAUAUAUGUGUAUA